AAAGUACUCCCUCCGUCCCAAAAUUCGUGUCUUAGAUUUGUCUAGAUACGGAUGUAUCAAGUCACAUUUUAGUAUUAGAUACAUCCGUAUCUAGACAAAUCUAAGACAAGAAAUUUGGAACAGAGGGAGUAGUUG
rnacentral:pre_miRNA from 1 species